ACGACAAUUGCAUGAAUGUAUAGACGAUAUGGUGGCGUAUAAGAAACUGGAUGAUACAAUCUUUCAGCGAAUAAUGUGGUCGACAGAACCAGAGUUACAAGGUGCCAGAGAUCUGAUUGAUAGAAUCCAGAAACGUCAGUUAUACAAAUGUGUUGGCUUGGCGCCGCGUCCCGAACAUCUAGAUAAGGAAGAGGAGAAGGAAGUGCUAAAAGAAAUCGCUAAAUUCGCUAAAUUAGAACCUGAAUGUCUCAGAUUGUCGCGUGUUCAUUAUGACUAUGGUAUGAAAAGUCAAGAUCCAGUUAGCCAUACCCGAUUUUACUCGAAAGACAAACCUAAUGUAUGUUUAGAACUCUGCCCAGAACAGGGCCCCCAGAUGCUUCCAAAGCAUUUUCAAGUAGAUAUGAUUCGUAUCUUCUGCACGGAUAGUACACCAAAAAUCAUAGAGGCGGCCAAAUCAGCUUUUGAACAAUGGUGUGAUGACAAAGGCGUGAAGCCUGAGGGUAUCAGAGGGGGAUUCAGAUUCCAGGAAGUUACCCAAAAGGUAUUCAUAAAAAUAAAUUUUUCACAUCUUAUAAAAACAAAAUGUUCACAUAACAAUUUGCA